CCCUUAGAUGUUCUGGGCUGCACGCGCGCUACACUGAUGCGUUCAACGAGUACAUUUGCCUUGACCGGAAGGUUUGGGGAAUCUGUGAAUACGCAUCGUGAUGGGGAUAGACCUUUGCAAUUAUGGGUCUUCAACGAGGAAUUCCUAGUAAACGCAAGUCAUCAGCUUGCAUUGAUUACGUCCCUGCCCUUUGUACACACCGCCCGUCGCACCUACCGAUUGAAUGGUCCGGUGAAAUCUCGGGACGGCGGCUUGGUCGCUUGCGUCCGACUGCUGAAACUUGAUUAAACCAUAUCAUUUAGAGGAAGGUGAAGUCGUANCA
rnacentral:rRNA from 1 species